rnacentral:RNase_P_RNA from 1 species
UCAGUCGGCCGGACGGCCGCUCCGGCAACGGCCGAAAGGCUGCCGGGGAGGAAAGUCCGGGCUCCAUGGACAUACGGUGCCGGAUAACGACCGGCGGGGGCGACCCCAGGGACAGUGCCACAGAAAACAAACCGCUCCCGGCGCGAGCCGAGAGUAAGGGUGAAACGGUGCGGUAAGAGCGCACCGCGCGGCCGGCAACGGACGCGGCACGGAAAACCCCACCGGGAGCAAAACCGAAUAGGGACGGCGCGGGGUUCGCCCCGGGAUCUGUGUCUGGAUCCUGCCGUCCGGGUGGGUUGCUGGAGGCGCCGGGCAACCGGCGUCCCAGAGGAAUGGCCGUCACGUGCGGGGGCCUUAAAAACCCCUGCGCCUUACAGAACCCGGCUUACAGGCUGGCUGACGCU